GGAGGUGUCUGCGUACCUGGUGGGCGCCCCCGCCUUCAAAGCGGGUGUGACGGGUGAUCCUCGUCAGGCGGGUUCGAUUCCCGUCCACCUCCGCCA
rnacentral:tRNA from 1 species